UACGUAGGGAGCAAGCGUUGUCCGGAAUCAUUGGGCGUAAAGAGCGCGUAGGCGGCCGUGUAAGUCCGUUCUGAAAGUCGGAGGCUCAACCUCCGAAAGCGGAUGGAUACUGCACGGCUAGAGUCCGGAAGAGGCGAGUGGAAUUCCUGGUGUAGAGGUGAAAUUCGUAGAUAUUAGGAAGAACACCAGUGGCGAAGGCGGCUCACUGGUCCGGUACUGACGCUGAGGUGCGAAAGCGUGGGGAUCAAACAGG
rnacentral:rRNA from 1 species